rnacentral:misc_RNA from 1 species
CGUCGAACCACCUGUCCAACCGUUGUGGAACCGCUUGCAGCGGCUUUGCUAUCCGGCGCUUGGGCGAGGCAAUUGGUAAAGUUUUCAUGCCGAAACGCUAAACAAAAUUGGACUAUGCAGGGUGCCGAGCAGACCUGCGAGCACGCCGAAGCCAGUGAGAGGUAAUGGACCCAAGGGACACGGCCUGAGCUCCGGCUGCAUGUAGCCUUGCGGUCCUUGAGCGUCUUGUGUUUCUCCGCGGCCCGGCUUCGGGUGCUGCAUUCAAGCUGGAUCCUUCACAAGUCGCCGGCAUGGAGCCACAGCCGGGGGUGCUAGACAUUCUGGCUCAAUUCUGCCACCGGCUGCUGCAUUGGGGCCCAUUGACGGCGCUCUUUAUCAUCAAAUUCAUUUUUCUGACCAGCCUGUACGUGACAUCUAUGUGGCUCUCGCCUUAUGGUUCAACGCUAGGUACCGUCAACCACGCGAUAUUCAUCGGUUGGGUUGGAGUCCUCCUGUACAAUUUCUUCAUGGCCGUCGCUAUGGGACCGGGCUUCGUUCCUCUGAAGUGGAGGCCGGACCAGCCAGAUGAUGAGCAGUUCCUGCAGUACUGCGCAAACUGUGAUGGAUUUAAGACGCCGCGGUCACAUCACUGCCGCAAAUGUGAAAGGUGUGUCCUCAAGAUGGACCAUCACUGUCCGUGGAUCAACACUUGUUGUGGGCACCGGAACCAUGCCAACUUCACACUUUUUUUGUUCUUUGCUGUCUGUGGCAGCAUUCAUGCCUUGGUGCUGUUGAUCGUGGGCCUGGCUAAAGCCUAUCAUAGGAAAUAUUACAUGCGCCAAGGUCAAGAGGACAAUCUAGUCUACCUGGGUUUCUUCCCUUUUCUGGCCACGGUGCUGAGCCUGGGCUUAGCCAUUGGUGUCAUCAUUGCAGUGGGAAGCCUCUUUUUUAUACAGCUCAAAAUUAUCGUUCGCAACGAGACAACUAUUGAGAACUGGAUUGUGGCCAAGGCCCAGAUGCGAGAGCGUGAGGAGGAAGACGACUUUGUCUAUCCAUACAACCUGGGUGUGGCUGAGAACCUGAAGCAGGUCUUUUUGUACCCACUUGGUGAUGGCAUUACCUGGCCCGUGGUGCCUGGGUGCAACCAGUACACACUCACUGUUGAGCAAAUUCUUCAGAAGCAUGACAAGCGGCUACGAACCCGCUUGUACACUGUGGUGCGUCCGUAUCGUGGCUCCUUUUUCCCAAUAUCACAUGGCUGCACUGUCUGCAUAACCACACCACUCACUGAUGAGCCCCGCAUUGCAGUCAGCCCUGGCGACCGUGUUCUUGUUACUCGGUGGAAAAAGCAUUGGCUUUAUGGAGAGCUAGAAAGCGCAAAGUUUUCUACGAAAUCCUCACGCAGGCUGAAGGGCUGGUUCCCACGGCAGUGUGCGGUUGAGGUGGCUGGCAGUAAAGGGAGCCGGAGCUGCUCAGAGGCAUCGUCAAGCUAUGCUGACCACAAGAAGUACAAGUGAAAUGUGCCAUCACAUCACUGCACAGCUGCAGCCUCUAUUGUCUGCCCAGCCUACCUGCCAGAUUCAGACCAGUCAAAUUUUUCCUGUGUGGGCAGCUGUCCCUGUUGCGUGCGGAUGGACUCGGCUGCUCCCCAAUUUGGCAGCGUCAGAGCCAGUGAUGGAGGGUGUAAAGAAUGGAAAAGGAAAGGGAUCACAAGAAAAUGUGGCCCCUGUUUGCCAAAUAAGAAGCAAAACUAAACUAGCAGGUGGCAUUAACUGAAAAAUUAGAAUGUGUAGAAUUGCAUGCAAAAGUUUGUUCGACAUCUUGCUUUUCUUACUAAUCAGUAGUAUGUAGUUUGGCAUGCUUGAAUGUAAGAAAACUGAAUGCUUGUUUUCAUGGAGGAAAAGGGAAACUUAAAGGGACCCUCACCAGGUUUGGGCACUGCAAAACAAGGGCGGCACAUAGAUCAUGCAGUGACAAUCUUGUCUGCAGAGUAUUACACUGAUGUACACCGUGAAAACAGCUGAGAAUUCAAACAAAAGCUCGCACUGCCAUCUCAGAGGAGCCUCUCUUUUCCUGCCAGCAAAACUGGCAUCACAUGCGUGGCACUUUAACAUCACACAAGUGAUUCAAUGCAUAAAAAUAGCCAGUAGCAGCACAGACAACUUGGGGAUUCCUGUGAAAAGCACAAUACCACUUCCAAAAAGUAAUUGCACUGCAGAAAAUUAAAAAAAAGAGGUAAAAAAAGGGGAAAAGGCGGGUGGUCAUGAAAGAAACAUAAAAUGGGCCCUUGGCUCUGAUACGGGAGAAGGCAGAAGAGGAAUGUCAGUUGGAGGUGCUGAUCGAGGCAGCGGAGGAGAGCCUCUGCAGUGGGAUGGAUAGCUUACCUCCUCACACCUUGCAACAUUUCAGUUCUUUCUAUCUCGUCUACUACUGAACUUGUUUAGAAUGUUUCAAUUUUUUUUUUUUUAUCAAACGCUGCUUUAAUGGCACAUUUCACGUCUAGUGCGUAACCAAAAUUGCUGAUGGUGCCUGGCCAGGGGCCCUUUGAAGGAACCAGUGCUCAAUCAAAACAUGCAAUGAGAUAGUGAUGCAG